GACGAACGCUGGCGGCGUGCUUAACACAUGCAAGUCGAACGGAAAGGCCCUGCUUUUGUGGGGUGCUCGAGUGGCGAACGGGUGAGUAACACGUGAGUAACCUGCCCUUGACUUUGGGAUAACUUCAGGAAACUGGGGCUAAUACCGGAUAGGAGCUCCUGCUGCAUGGUGGGGGUUGGAAAGUUUCGGCGGUUGGGGAUGGACUCGCGGCUUAUCAGCUUGUUGGUGGGGUAGUGGCUUACCAAGGCUUUGACGGGUAGCCGGCCUGAGAGGGUGACCGGCCACAUUGGGACUGAGAUACGGCCCAGAUUCCUACGGGAGGCAGCAGUGGGGAAUAUUGCACAAUGGGCGGAAGCCUGAUGCAGCAACGCCGCGUGCGGGAUGACGGCCUUCGGGUUGUAAACCGCUUUCGCCUGUGACGAAGUGUGAGUGACGGUAAUGGGUAAAGAAGCACCGGCUAACUACGUG
rnacentral:rRNA from 1 species